AGGCAGGGAACCUAAGGCUGAUUCAUGCUGACUUCCUAGAACUAAAUCAAAUGGAAACACUUCAUCUAGGACAGGAAACAUCCUCUCCAUUUACACAGGGCAUACAAUAAUUAACCAAUGGAAACCUCUAAAGGGUAUUUAAACCCCAGAAUAUUCUGUAACGAGGCUCUUGAGCCCUGUGUUUGCCUGCGCCCACCCUGUAGAGUGUACUUUCAUUUUUAAUAAAUCUCUGCUUUUGAUGCUUCAUUCUUUCCUUGCUUUGUUUGUGUGUUUUGUCCAAUUCUUUGUUCAAAACGUCAAGAGCCUGGACACCUUCAACUGGUAACAUAUUUUAGUGAACCAGCCAGGAGGACCCUUGGUGAGCAGCACCUAAACACAGAGGCAGCUGCAAGCUUCCUACAUGUGGUGCAGCUCAGGGCGAACUCACAUGAAUUUCAGUUAAGCAGGACCCCUAAGGCUGCUCAGGGAGAAAGAACUCAGAAGUCUGACAUGCAGGAAAAAGGGUAAGAAUUUCUUACCAGUCAGACUCUGGCCUCUCAGUCUCUCUCUGUGCAAACUGGUUAAAUGAAUGGUAAAAGUUACCGUUUAUCUCCUCUGUAAAGUUUUGAUUAUACAAAAAGAAUUGUGAGGCUGGUCUUAAGCUAUAGUGAAUGUGGUGUGUUUUAUGUGUCUUUCCAUAUUGUUCUGUUAUAAAGAGGGGUACCUUAGGAUAAAAUGUGUGCCUAGGAUGCCAUAGGCUCACUAUUCAAGGCGUCCCAGCAAACUGAUCAGUCAUGUCCUUGAGAAGUUGACCUUGUAACCACAUGGCCAUGCUUUCUCUUUUCACAAUGGUGGACUGGGUUUAGGGUUCAAUUCCUGGGAAUGAGUCCUUUAUCUUCUGUCUGUCUGUGUAUUUAUAUGUGUUUUGUGUAUAAUAUAAAAGAGCUUUAAUUAUUAGUUUAAUGAUAAGAGUUUAAAUAUUUUGUCAGAAAAGUAAAAUGUGUAAUGCCUUUUAAUUUUUAUGUUUUUUGAGAUGGAGUCUCACUCUGUCACCCAGGCUGGAGUGCAGUGGCACGAUGUUGGCUCACUGUAACCUCCACCUCCUGGAUUCAAGUGACUUUCCUGUCUCAGCCUCUUGAGUAGCUAGGGCUACAAGUGUGAGCCACAAUGCCUGGCUAAUUUGGUAAUUUGAGUAGAGACAGAGUUUUACCAUAUUGUUCAAGCUGGUCUCAAAGUCAUGACCUCAGGUGAUCCACCCUCCUUGGCUUCCCAAAAUGCUGGGAUUACAGGUGUAAGCCUCCAUGCCCAGCCAUCCAACACCUUUUAUUUAGUUCAUGUGACUUAAUUAAUCUUUGGGAAACAAAGACAGUUUUAAAGAUUAUUGGUAAAAUAAAAAUAUCUUCAAAAAUGUAAACA
rnacentral:lncRNA from 13 species